UCAACGAUUCUUGGUCACGAAUUGUACGUACCGGUUAAUUACACGGACGGUUAAUUAAUGUAACAGAUGGUGAAGUUAAAAGAAAAUAAAGAAAAAAACUGUAAUAGUAAGAAUAUUAAUUAAUUUUUAAAAAAAUUGUAAUUUUCCAUAUAAAACGUAUGCAGAAAUGUAGCUUUUUGUAAAGAAUAGCGAUUUCCAAAAAAAAUUUAAGCAAUCUACACCAAUGAGUGAUUUCAUAGUGAUUUUUAAAUGAAGUGAAUUGUUGACGCUCCCAUUACGGGGGUGUGGUGCUGUAAAAGUAGAGCGAUUUAUCGAGAUCUACCCAAUAAUCAAGUGUGGUUAAUUGGCAAUAAUUUUGUACAUUAUCUCGUGCCACAAACUGAGAAGUGGCUAGAAUUGCUUAUUUUUGAUCUAAAUAACUUUAAGAAUGUGCGAAAUGCGGUGCCAGUGAAUAAUUAUUACUUGUAGCUGUUCAAUUCAAUUAGCAUUUUUGACAAGUAUAAUUUCGGAUUAAAAUUAAUGAUCUCUUCAAUAGAACAAUCUGCACGUUAAAAUGGAAUUAAAAUUAUUUGGCUGCCAUCGAACAGGAAGAAACCCUCUUAUGCCAAUAUUUCCCUGCUGAAGAAAAAAAUGUAAAAAUAAACUAAGCGCAAUAAGUUAACUGUAAAAAAACAUAUUUAUAGUAAUAACAUUAGUUUAUAAGCAAUAAUUUAAGAAAUCUGCCCAGAGUAAACACCCAGUAUAAAUGAAUAAUAACAAAAACUGUAUCAAAUAAUAACGUAAUGUCGAUUUUUAAUUUCACUUCUUAAUAUUAUAUAAAAAAAACUGUAUAUAUAAA